rnacentral:lncRNA from 1 species
CCUUGAGAACUGAGUUUGACCUCUGCAACUUAUGAAUACACUUAUCAUACGCUGCAGGAUUCUAAGAUGACCUCCAGGAUCCCUACUUGCUGUACAAUCCUCAGGACUGUGAAGAUGAUGGAUUUUACUGCUGUGAUUAAGUUAUAUGGCACAUUCGACUUGAAGAAAGGGAGAUUAUUCUGGGAAUAUGUAGCAGUACAAAGUGCUAACGUCGUGUGGAUUUGAACCCCCAUCCUCGAGAGCAAAAGAAGGCUGGGGAUUGCCAAAUGUCAACUCAGCUGUGUCAGCCAUGGGACCCCAAGUCUCCAGCCAUGUCCAGUUCUCUGCAGACACUGAAUGCCUGUGCCAAGGCAAGCUGUCCACAACUGCUGCUGGAAGAGUGGUGCAGAGCCAACCGUUGGAAAUAUUGGUCACCUCAGCCUACGUGUGGGCCCAGUUCAUGAUGCAGUUGGAGCAUGUUAACCUGUGGUUGAAAUGACAGAGCAGGCAUAGGUACUAACAGAGGUAAAUCACGUCUCUCAAGCAAAAUACAGGCUAACCUUUCAUCCCUGGAUAACAAUGCAGCCAACAAGGGAUUUUGCCCUGGAUGAUGGUACCACACCUUCUCAGCUCCCCAUGGUUCUUUUGAGUCCUGUAUCUGUGCCAAAGUCACAGGGGAACUCAUAAUAGGUCACACAAGCAAUACAUAUAUUCCCUGGAGGAGGGUGCCUUCCCUGGCCAUUCCCCUACAAACAGUCAACUGCAGGGGCCAUGUAUUGAAUACCCAAGGAGUGACAUGCAAGUCAUAGUGUAUGCCCUACCCCCAGGGAGCUACGAUGGCCAACCACUGGCAGUGGGGGGCUUGGAGGGUCCAUGGCCACAGCCAGGUUUUCUGUUCCCCUGCCUUCAAGGGCGUUGGGGCUGGUAACAACAGGUUACUGUUCAUCCCCAUACCUGGUUGGAGGAGGUCACCCUUGGUAUGUAUCUGCAACCGGAUGGGGAUGGUGGCCCAGUGUAACAAAGCCACCACCAGAAGUGGGCCAACUUUCUGUGGCUGUUAAUUCAAGGAUUGAAGUACCAGGUCCAGCCUGGAACUCCAGCCCCACAAAGACAGGGGUGUGACAUGCAAGCAUAACCCAUUCUUUAAGAGCCUCUUAUACCACUCAAUUAUAUGUGCAGCUUGCGGGUUAUAUAGUACAUGGAAUCCCCACUUUAUGUCCACUUGUUAUGCCCAUUUUUGUGCCUGUUGUCCAGUGAUAUGUGUUCUCUUAUCACUCUCAACAGCCAGAGGGCGAUCAUACAGGGCAUAUAAGUGUUGCAGGGCCUGGAUGGUGUUCUGUUAGUUGGCCACUCUGCAAGCAUAGGUGAACAACAGGCUCAUGACUGUGUCCACAGCUGUUAACACAUGCAUAUACCCUUGCAACUUCAGCAGCAGCCUAAUGUAAUCUACUUGCCACUUGGUCAAGGGCACUCACCCUAUUGUCGUUUGUUGUGUAAUAUUGGGCCCCUGCCUCCAUUUAGGGUGUGCCUGAGCAUAUGCCAGGCAUUUCUGACAAGCCUCUCAAAUGCCUUGCUUGGGCAGGAAUAGACCCCAAUGCUUAUUGACCCGUUAAAUCAGUUCACCCCCCGGCAUGUCCCAGUUUCCAGUGUAGCCACAAGGCCACAUCUCAUGUUGGUGCUGACUAACCAUCGGAUCUUAACCAAGGCAUCUGCUUCAUCAUUGCCGGGGGUAGUGAAAGGCAUAUGGCCUGAGACAUGAUAAAGAGUUACCUCUUUCUGAUGACCCAUUUCCCAAAGGUCUUGCCACAUGACUUGGCCCCAAAUGGGUCAGUGGCUGACUAACCCCUUUUGUAUUUUCCAGGUAGUUAACCAUAAGGUUAAGCCUUGAUAGACUGCCCAGCUACCGAUACAGAUAACUAUAGGUGUCACCUCCUUGGUGAUCACCAUCCAUACUACUCUAAGUUCAGCCCAUUGGCUACUUUGUCCAUACCUGGUUUCAAACCAUACGGUGUCAGUACUAGGUUGGACUGCAACAGCAGUCCAGGCAGCAGUAGCACCUCGGCUAGACCCAUCUGUGUACCAUGCCCC